rnacentral:rRNA from 1 species
GACGAACGCUGGCGGCGUGCCUAAUACAUGCAAGUUGAACGCUUCUUUCUUAUCGAACUUCGGUUCACCAAGAAAGAGGAGUAGCGAACGGGUGAGUAACACGUGGGUAACCUGCCCAUCAGCGGGGGAUAACACUUGGAAACAGGUGCUAAUACCGCAUAAUGCUUUUUCUCACAUGAGAGAAAGCUGAAAGGCGCUUUUGCGUCACUGAUGGAUGGACCCGCGGUGCAUUAGCUAGUUGGUAGGGUAACGGCCUACCAAGGCAACGAUGCAUAGCCGACCUGAGAGGGUGAUCGGCCACACUGGGACUGAGACACGGCCCAGACUCCUACGGGAGGCAGCAGUAGGGAAUCUUCGGCAAUGGACGAAAGUCUGACCGAGCAACGCCGCGUGAGUGAAGAAGGUUUUCGGAUCGUAAAAACUCUGUUGUUAGAGAAGAAACAAAGGA